rnacentral:rRNA from 1 species
CCUACGGGUGGCUGCAGUGGGGAAUAUUGGGCAAUGGAGGCAACUCUGACCCAGCAACGCCGCGUGAGUGAUGAAGGUCUUCGGAGUGUAAAACUCUGUAAGUGGGGACGAAGAAAGUGACGGUACCCACAGAAUAAGCCGCGGCUAACUACGUGCCAGCAGCCGCGGUAAGACGUAGGAGGCAAGCGUUCUCCGGAAUGACUGGGCGUAAAGGGGGCGUAGGUGGUUCGGCAAGUUCGUAGCGUAAUUCCGGGGCUCAACCGCGGAACUACUACUAAAACUGUUGGGCUUGAGUGCAGGGGGGGCAUCUGGCAUUCCUAGUGUCGCGGUGUAAUGCGUAGAUAUUAG